rnacentral:rRNA from 1 species
UACGGAGGAUCCAAGCGUUAUCCGGAUUUAUUGGGCUUAAAGGGUGCGUAGGUGGGAUGAUAAGUCAGAGGUGAAAGCUAGCAGCUUAACUGUUAAAUUGCCUUUGAUAUUGUUAUUCUUGAGUAUAGUUGGCGUUGGCGGAAUGUGACAUGUAGCGGUGAAAUGCGUAGAUAUGUCACAGAACACCGAUCGCGAAGGCAGCUAACGAAACUAUCACUGACACUGAUGCACGAAAGCGUGGGGAGCAAACAGG